rnacentral:rRNA from 1 species
CCCGAAACCCGGUGAUCUAGCCAUGGGCAGGUUGAAGGUUGGGUAACACUAACUGGAGGACCGAACCGACUAAUGUUGAAAAAUUAGCGGAUGACUUGUGGCUGGGGGUGAAAGGCCAAUCAAACCGGGAGAUAGCUGGUUCUCCCCGAAAGCUAUUUAGGUAGCGCCUCGUGAACUCAUCUUCGGGGGUAGAGCACUGUUUCGGCUAGGGGGUCAUCCCGACUUACCAACCCGAUGCAAACUACGAAUACCGAAGAAUGUUAUCACGGGAGACACACGGCGGGUGCUAACGUCCGUCGUGAAGAGGGAAACAACCCAGACCGCCAGCUAAGGUCCCAAAGUCAUGGUUAAGUGGGAAACGAUGUGGGAAGGCACAGACAGCCAGGAUGUUGGCUUAGAAGCAGCCAUCAUUUAAAGAAAGCGUAAUAGCUCACUGGUCGAGUCGGCCUGCGCGGAAGAUGUAACGGGGCUAAACCAUGCACCGAAGCUGCGGCAGCGACACUAUGUGUUGUUGGGUAGGGGAGCGUUCUGUAAGCCUGCGAAGGUGACCUGUGAGGCAUGCUGGAGGUAUCAGAAGUGCGAAUGCUGACAUAAGUAACGAUAAAGCGGGUGAAAAGCCCGCUCGCCGGAAGACCAAGGGUUCCUGUCCAACGUUAAUCGGGGCAGGGUGAGUCGACCCCUAAGGCGAGGCCGAAAGGCGUAGUCGAUGGGAAACAGGUUAAUAUUCCUGUACUUGGUGUUACUGCGAAGGGGGGACGGAGAAGGCUAUGUUAGCCGGGCGACGGUUGUCCCGGUUUAAGCAUGUAGGCUGAUUAUCCAGGCAAAUCCGGAUAAUCAAGGCUGAGGUGUGAUGACGAGGCACUACGGUGCUGAAGUAACAAAUGCCCUGCUUCCAGGAAAAGCCUCUAAGCAUCAGGUAACAUUAAAUCGUACCCCAAACCGACACAGGUGGUCAGGUAGAGAAUACCAAGGCGCUUGAGAGAACUCGGGUGAAGGAACUAGGCAAAAUGGUGCCGUAACUUCGGGAGAAGGCACGCUGGUGUGUAGGUGAAGCCCCUGCGGGUGGAGCUGAGACCAGUCGAAGAUACCAGCUGGCUGCAACUGUUUAUUAAAAACACAGCACUGUGCAAACACGAAAGUGGACGUAUACGGUGUGACGCCUGCCCGGUGCCGGAAGGUUAAUUGAUGGGGUUAUCCGUAAGGAGAAGCUCUUGAUCGAAGCCCCGGUAAACGGCGGCCGUAACUAUAACGGUCCUAAGGUAGCGAAAUUCCUUGUCGGGUAAGUUCCGACCUGCACGAAUGGCGUAAUGAUGGCCAGGCUGUCUCCACCCGAGACUCAGUGAAAUUGAACUCGCUGUGAAGAUGCAGUGUACCCGCGGCAAGACGGAAAGACCCCGUGAACCUUUACUAUAGCUUGACACUGAACAUUGAGCCUUGAUGUGUAGGAUAGGUGGGAGGCUUUGAAGCGUGGACGCCAGUCUGCGUGGAGCCAACCUUGAAAUACCACCCUUUAAUGUUUGAUGUUCUAACGUUGGCCCCUUACCGGGGUUGCGGACAGUGUCUGGUGGGUAGUUUGACUGGGGCGGUCUCCUCCCAAAGCGUAACGGAGGAGCACGAAGGUUAGCUAAUCCUGGUCGGACAUCAGGAGGUUAGUGCAAUGGCAUAAGCUAGCUUGACUGCGAGCGUGACGGCGCGAGCAGGUGCGAAAGCAGGUCAUAGUGAUCCGGUGGUUCUGAAUGGAAGGGCCAUCGCUCAACGGAUAAAAGGUACUCCGGGGAUAACAGGCUGAUACCGCCCAAGAGUUCAUAUCGACGGCGGUGUUUGGCACCUCGAUGUCGGCUCAUCACAUCCUGGGGCUGAAGUAGGUCCCAAGGGUAUGGCUGUUCGCCAUUUAAAGUGGUACGCGAGCUGGGUUUAGAACGUCGUGAGACAGUUCGGUCCCUAUCUGCCGUGGGCGCUGGAGAAUUGAGGGGGGCUGCUCCUAGUACGAGAGGACCGGAGUGGACGCAUCACUGGUGUUCGGGUUGUCAUGCCAAUGGCACUGCCCGGUAGCUAAAUGCGGAAGAGAUAAGUGCUGAAAGCAUCUAAGCACGAAACUUGCCCCGAGAUGAGUUCUCCCUGAGACUUUAAGUCUCCUGAAGGAACGUUAAAGACGAUGACGUUGAUAGGCCGGGUGUGUAAGCGCAGCGAUGCGUUGAGCUAACCGGUACUAAUGAACCGUGAGGCUUAACCUU